rnacentral:rRNA from 1 species
GACGAACGCUGGCGGCGUGCUUAACACAUGCAAGUCGAACGGAAAGGCCCUGCUUUUGUGGGGUGCUCGAGUGGCGAACGGGUGAGUAACACGUGAGUAACCUGCCCUUGACUUUGGGAUAACUUCAGGAAACUGGGGCUAAUACCGGAUAGGAGCUCCUGCUGCAUGGUGGGGGUUGGAAAGUUUCGGCGGUUGGGGAUGGACUCGCGGCUUAUCAGCUUGUUGGUGGGGUAGUGGCUUACCAAGGCUUUGACGGGUAGCCGGCCUGAGAGGGUGACCGGCCACAUUGGGACUGAGAUACGGCCCAGACUCCUACGGGAGGCAGCAGUGGGGAAUAUUGCACAGUGAGCGGAAGCCUGAUGCAGCAACGCCGCGUGCGGAAUGACGGCCUUCGGGUUAUAAACCGCUUUCGCCUGUGACGAAGCGUGAGUGACGGUAAUGGGUAAAGAAGCACCGGCUAACUACGUG